UACGUAGGGCGCAAGCGUUGUCCGGAAUUAUUGGGCGUAAAGGAGCUCGUAGGCGGCUUGUCGCGUCGGGCUGUGAAAUCCCGAGGCUCAACCUCGGGUACUGCAGUCGAUACGAGCAACUAGAGUGUUGCAGGGGAGACUGGAAUUCCUGGUGUAGCGGUGAAAUGCGCAGAUAUCAGGAGGAACACCGGUGGCGAAGGCGGGUCUCUGGGCAACAACUGACGGCUGAGGAGCGAAAGCGUGGGGAGCGAACAGG
rnacentral:rRNA from 1 species